rnacentral:rRNA from 1 species
UACGUAGGGGGCAAGCGUUGUCCGGAAUUAUUGGGCGUAAAGAGCUCGUAGGUGGUUUGUUGCGUCGGCUGUGAAAUCCCGAGGCUCAACCUCGGGUCUGCAGUCGAUACGAGCAAACUAGAGUGUUGCAGGGGAGACUGGAAUUCCUGGUGUAGCGGUGAAACGCGCAGAUAUCAGGAGGAACACCGGUGGCGAAGGCGGGUCUCUGGGCAACAACUGACGCUGAGGAGCGAAAGCGUGGGGAGCGAACAGG